rnacentral:rRNA from 1 species
UGGAGCCGUAGCGAAAGCGAGUCUGAAUAGGGCGUUUAGUAUUUGGUCGUAGACCCGAAACCAGGUGAUCUACCCUUGGUCAGGUUGAAGUUCAGGUAACACUGAAUGGAGGACCGAACCGACUUACGUUGAAAAGUGAGCGGAUGAACUGAGGGUAGCGGAGAAAUUCCAAUCGAACCUGGAGAUAGCUGGUUCUCUCCGAAAUAGCUUUAGGGCUAGCCUCAAGUGAUGAUUAUUGGAGGUAGAGCACUGUUUGGACGAGGGGCCCCUCUCGGGUUACCGAAUUCAGACAAACUCCGAAUGCCAAUUAAUUUAACUUGGGAGUCAGAACAUGGGUGAUAAGGUCCGUGUUCGAAAGGGAAACAGCCCAGACCACCAGCUAAGGUCCCAAAAUAUAUGUUAAGUGGAAAAGGAUGUGGCGUUGCCCAGACAACUAGGAUGUUGGCUUAGAAGCAGCCAUCAUUUAAAGAGUGCGUAAUAGCUCACUAGUCGAGUGACACUGCGCCGAAAAUGUACCGGGGCUAAACAUAUUACCGAAGCUGUGGAUUGUCCUUUGGACAAUGGUAGGAGAGCGUUCUAAGG